CCGGCAACAAUUUUAGGGCCUGUGACCGAUGACCGUAGGGGUUCCAUGGCCACCCCCCCUCCAUCCGCCAGCAAUUUAAGUAUAAUGUUCAAUCUAUCUCCCAACAGCUGUGUGCCAGUACCCCCUCCUCCCGGUCAUCAGUUACCAUUUACAGGGGCCUCAAUUCGUCUUUCCGCCUUUCAUGAACACCUUGCUUUCUUUGACCGAUGGAUCAUAACAUUCCGGAAGAGCAUACAUUCGGCGACAGUUUUGCAUACACACGCACACUCACAACCAUGCGCAGGAUGCUUAGCAUAUCUAUGUUAUCCACAACAGGCGAAAGCAAAAUCUUAGUGCUAUGCUUACUGCUUAACACGUUCAGCACGAUGGCAGGCCCCAGGGACUGCCAGUGAACUUUCCAGUAUACCGGUUUCACAAUCAGCUUGCGUUCUAGAUGCCGGCGGAACGGUAAGCUCAUGAAAAUCAGCGCCGGACUGAACGUGUUAAUGCGAAUUAGGGUUCUGCGCGUUGCACAGCAAACCCUCCUGCGUAAACUAGCGAUUCCUUAGUCAUUUUUAUAUUGCAGUGUUUGAACUCAUUGCAAUUUUUUGGUUUGAUUUGUGAAAAUGCAACUUCAUCGCCGCAAUGUUUGUUAACGGCAUUUUUAGGCGCCACAACAGCUCGCGAGCAUUGUCCACACGCGUGAAAGAGAUAGCGCUAUGGAGGGAAAAAGCACGGACGACGGCUGACAGCGAUUGGCCGUCUGACGCACCAACACAUUCAAACCUUCGACAGCGCGCUCAGGCGAGGGGUACGAGGCGGAGCCAGGGACGGGUAGCUCGACGAGCUGCUUGACAAAUUUGCCGUUGGAGGGAAAAAGAUGGCAUGAUAAAAUUCUCCGAACGGCAUGAUUUCUUCCGUCGCUUUGCGCAGCGGGUCUCAGAACUCCAUGAUUUCUUCCGUCGCUUUGCGCAGCGGGAACUAACAGUAGAUUUAUUUAAAGUUAACUUUACCGUGUUAGCCUUUAUUCAGAGGCUGCUUUGUGUUGUUGUCGUUUUGUUUAUCUUCAAAUGUCAAACACACUUAAAAAAUCGCAAUGCGAAUCGGAAGAGCGUUGACACGGCGUACGAUUCGCACGUCCGAUAAAAUCGCAUCCGAUGAAGCGUUGCCACGGGCCUUAAGGGCCAUCCCAAGUGCCACAAAUCCACUAAACGACCACUAAACGGCUUCUAAACGCCUCAAGCACUCUACCUAAACGGAAUAUAGAAAGACCUCGUUUAGCAGACGGCAAACGACUCAUGUAUUCUAAAAAUAGCUAAAAAAAAGCUGGUGGCGCCAUCUGUUUGUGGGAUACCCAACCAGUUGAGCUUCCUCGCUUGGAGGAGAGCUUUCUCGUUUCCUCUGUACUGUUGUAUGGUUUCGCAUUGAAGUUAUGCAUCGCUAGAACUAGAACGGCGAUGCGAUUGUUUAAAUACUAAACUCCAACCGAAACCAUCAGCACUGAAGCAACCCGGCAACCAAUGCGAGGGUUGGUGAGGUACCUCUCGCUCUAAUUUCUCUAAUCUAGUCUAGUUGCCGCGCUUCCUCCUAUAGCGAUUCUGUCGAGCUGAGCUUUCACGUCCCUCACCACCGAACCCACGACGGGCAUGCAGAUGUGCGGAAUGAUGGCGUUGCCGCGCGACCGCUUAUGUCCAGCGGGUAACUUGCAUACUGCCACACUGUCUCCUGCUCGAUGCAUACGCUGCAGGCAGGGGGAAGGAUGCACCUCCACGAUAAAAAAAAACACCGUCAUGAACCAGCGGUGGACCUAACGGUAGGCGGACUAGGCGGUCGCCGAAAAUCUCUAGUCUGUAGUAUGCCAUAUGUCUACAAGUGGACAGAGUAUUAGCGACAAGGGCCCCCAGAAAGAUGGUCGUUGGGGCCCCGUGGCUGGAGAACCAUCUGCACUCUAAACUCGCGCACGCGUUAUCCAGCGAUUACGGUGAUAAAGAAACAUUAUUUUAAUAGAAUAUGGCCUCUUUUAACUUGCAGAUAUAAUGCAGGAAUGAUAUGGGCCUGCGGCAGGUGUUUGCGACUGUGCGCUGUGUAUGAUUGUGUAUGAUACGCCAAUUUUCCUCUAUCCUGGAACGUGGGCUUACGAGGAACCAUUCAAGAAGAUCCUCCGGAAGCUGUACGGCGACGAGUCGGGCUCUACCAGCACAACACGCUAGAGGCCCAGCCGGCACCGGGUGCCCAGAUUGCGCCGUGAGACAAUGUCGAGCGCGCUCGUUAACAACGUUCGGGGCAGGAAUGCAACCCUUCUGAUCAUUAUCCUCUGCCUCACAAUAGCUGCAGCAGCAACAGGACCGAACCGACCGCACUACUGAUUGCGGUCAAAUUUCCUGGCAGGAGAAAAAAUCCCACAAGUGUAUCGAUUUCAUCGACGGCCGCUCGCUGGCAGCACCAACAUGCCACCGAAUAACCCCGGAAAGGCGACAAACACUCAUCUCCAGCGGCAAAUUGGUAACAUUAACCCACUUUCGCACAUCUAUACGACGUCACGUUAAUAGUGUUAUUUUGAUGAUGUUAACGAGUUAAGAUUAGACUUAAGUACGCUUUAAGGCAUACAUCGAUAUGCUUAAUUUUAAGUUAAGUGUUUUGACAAGCCCGUGUGGGUCAAGGGGCGGAAUAAGCGCUAAGCAAACUAAGCGGCCGCGUAGGGCCCCGUGGUCUUGAGGGGGCCCAAAAAAGGAACUCACCCCCCACUCGCAAGUUAAAUUGCUACUAAAUCCUGCUCUAGUUUAGAAUAUUUCCCUGCUAGACGCUUAAACCAAUCUUACAUUUAUGUGACUGAUUAGGGCCUCCACUCGUAUUUGUGGGUUUUGCACAACAUUUAAGAUAAAUAAAUUUAGUUUAUAUUAUCAUAAAACACUACGCAUUUUUAAAGGGGGAAUAAAGAUGAUGACAUAUAUUUAGUUUGUUAGAAGGUUUGUAUGCACGUUCACUAGUUUAUUUUAUCUGGAUUCUUUGCGGACUGCUUUUCGAUUGCGCAUGUCGCUUUGCCUCGUCUUGUGUUUUACAAACCCUAACAGCAGGGAUGCGGCUAGUCUAUCAUUGGAUUAACCUGGUGGAUCGGGUAGCUUGUAGCGCACCAUACUCGCCUGUCCACGAUGGGUAGGCCAUGUCAUACCCCUGGUACUGAAAGAUCCAGCCCAUAGUCGUUCGCAAGGACAGACAAAACGGUGUGUCACAGAAUGUGUAACAGAUGGUAGAAAAUGGGUACCUGCGGGUGAGAGAGUCUGUUUCUAAUGUUUUAUUAUCAGUUGGUGACACGUUCAAAUGGAUGUGCACAGAUCACUGCCCGAUCCUGAGGGCUCACCGUUGAAAGAGGCACUGUCAGCGUGUGAUGUCCUCAGAGAGGAUCUUGAUACGGAACCGAGAGUGGCUGUUCUCUCCCCCUCCCCCUCCCGCGUGUGUUUUUGGAUGUGGCUUUCUUUUUCUUCUUCCUUAUGUAUGUGGCUUUAUAAUCAUGUGUUAAAGAAAUAAACCAAAGAGCUGUUGAACGACGUUUAUGUGUUGUUUUGUCGCACAUUUUGUAUUAAUGUGGAUACAUAAAGGAUGAUAAUAUCAUGCCCGUCAUUGGUUCAAGCCUCAUAUAGACCGUCCCCUCGUAGUAAGGACUGGCCAGCCGGGUGUGUGGUACUAAAAAGACGCUAAAGCUUGCAUUGGCUGGCAUGACCAGGUAUACGACAAAUAGAAGAAGAAGAGAAGGGAAAAUGGAAAGAAGCAGUUAAUAGAAGCUUCGCCAGCCUCGGGGCCCCAACUUCCAUCCUUCCGGGGGCUAGUCGCUAGUACUCUGUCCAUACGGCAUACUAUAAACUAGCGAUCUACGAGGCCCCUGAAUCGGCGGGGCCCCUGGCGACCGCCUAGUCCGCCUAUCGUUAGAUCCGCCACUGGUAUGAGGAAUCAAUUAAAAUAGUCAAAUCGUAUUGAAUUGUGGGUCAAUUUUUGGGAAAAUCACAAACACAUGAAAUCAUUAUCUCAUACGGCCGAUAAAACCAGCUUACAUCGGGUUGAGAUCACGUGAUACAAAAUCAAAUUUUCGGUACGGAACUAUUCCUUCACUUUCGCUCGUUUGAAAUUGGCUUCAUAACCGUUGAUCGACAUGGCGAUCAAAUGGCCACAUCAGAAACGGCACGGAACGGAAACCACCAGCAUAGCACAAAUAUUGCUUCAACACCAGAAUUGACCGGCUUUCGCAUCGUCAAGGUCACAGGUAAAACCAAAUACACUACAUAUAUAUGUACCAAUCGCCAAUUCAAGAUACAACUACAACCCUACAAUAUACCAGUACCAGCUGAUGAGCUAUCGCACACAAGCGAACGGCGCGCGGAAAUAAGAGGAAGGGGCCUGAAGGAAGAGAGGACAGGGGAAGGCAUCGGGAGAGAGAGUGUGUGUGGUCAAAAUUUUUGGCCAUUUAAAUUUAGUCCACCAACACCGUUGCAUUUUGGAGCUUUUUUCUUGCCAGAAAGAGAUAGCCAUACACUUGACAUACAGCUGUCUCGCUCAUAUGACACUUUCAAGGCUCGCAAGCUCUUUAAUGCGAGGGCUCUGGAGCAGUGAACUUGUAUGGCGUGCGAGCCCUCGCGCGCCCUCGCAAAUCGCUGUCACUUGCACUGCGGGUUGUUUGCCGGGAAGUGAGAUUUGAGUAAUGGUCGUUGGUGUUGAUACCCACGUAUCUGACCACACGACCAUUCAUAUAAAUUUUUGCUCAGAAAGUUAGAAGGCUGUAUAGGGCAUGAUAAGAUGAAAGUUGUCGAAACACAUUGCAAGAAAAAGGAAAGCAAUAUAAUGAUGAGUUGUAAUACGUCAUCUAUUGAUCAAACCAAUGAAGCUGUGGAGCUUUCAUUUUUAUCUAUGGAUACUCAAUUUUGCAGUCGUUUAAGCUUAAUCUGUGGCGCUUGGGAUUACACGUUUGUAAUACCAUCUAUUGAGCAAACUAAUGAAGCUAUGGAGUUUUCGUUUUUCUUCUAUAGAUAUUCGAUUUAAUUGUCGUUUAAGCUUAAUC